ACCGCGCCUACGAGGAGGCCCUUGCCGAGUGCGAGCGCGGGCUCAGGAUCGACGACCCCUCCGACCCGGAGCCCGACUCGCUCAGGCUACCCGCUCCCGACCCCGACCAGCUCCGGGCCGAGCUCCGCAACCUCGUCCAGAAGGCCAAUCUCGCAUCCAUAUCCACCUGGGUCAAGAACCUCGCGCCCGGAUCCGGCCGCGGGACGUCCGGCCACUCCGGAUCCGGUCUCCUCCUCGCCGCACGGGCCUCCUCCUUGCCGGAGUGACGCCCCUCGUCGGAGCAGCGCCGGCCAAGCCCAUCGGCCACCAGGUUCGUGGCCGAUGCUAUGAGGUAAUGGAUAAUGCUGGAUAAUGCUGGAUCGUCGGCACAUUCCCCGGCUCUAGUAAGGCGAUUCGGCCCUCCGGUAAGGCGAUUCCGUGGCUCCUGUGCGCUAAGAUUGGCGGGAUUUUCGCUGGAGUCUACUCUGAUUUUCUCUCUUAAGUUUCAGGGCAUGGAGCGUCGCGGGUUGCUCAAGGCGGCUCUACUGGCGUGCUUGCUCGUCGUUUGCUCCGGGAGAGGAUAACAACAGUGGAGUGACUUGCAGGUGACUCAUGUGGAAUUUUGUUCAGUAAGAUCGACUUGACGCCUCAUAUUUUAAUUUGGAAAGCGGGACUUGGUUUUAUGUAUUUAGUGGUUCUACAAAUGGUUCUGCUAUGGUUGACAUCACAAUUCUUCUAAUGAGUAGGUAAUUUUAACACCCUCUACUAUUUUAUUGGUGUUCAGUUCUGUAAUACCCAGUUGCGUUGGCUGGCAAGUAUUAUUAGUUUAUAUGAGCCUGUUCAUUUAUACUGAUGUAACUGAUCUGAAAGGAUUGGAGUAGUUUGGAAAAAUCAACUUAAAUGGUGACUCCACAUAUUUUCACAAGGAGGUUAUUACACGCAAUAAAAAGUUCCUCUUAGAGCAUUGCCUUCAGUUCCCCCCUUCUACCAUAUAGUAGUACUGAUUAUAUGUGUCAUCUCGGUAUUAAUUUAGUUGCGACUUUUGCGUAUGCCUUGAGAGUUUUGUAUUUUUCUUCUCAAUUGGUUUCGUUUAGUUACAGCAGUAUGCCAAAUAAUCCAAAAAUAAUUAAUUAAAUCAUUGGACCGGCCGGAUAUAAAGAGCAUGAUUUAUACCAUCAAAUGAACAUAUAUUUUUAUAUGAAAUGAAGGCACAAUCUUAAAUCUGUGGGUGCAUGCACUGCUUCCUGCCUCUGUGCUCGCAAUUUAAAUGCAGUAUAUUUUACUCACUAAUACAUCUUGAAAAAUCUAAAAAGUAUAUUUUACUCACUAAUACAUCCUACAACAUUGCAUUUCACCAAGUGAAAUGCUACAUUUCUAUUCCUAACCCAUUCUCUCUUCCUUAGUGUUUUUGUUAUGCAGGUUGGAAGAAAAGAAGAAGAUCCAGAGAAGAUCUUAGUAAUAAGAUAGUUUUGACUUUGUGAAACUUGCUACCUAUCGAUGAAAUUGUGUAAUAUUGAUGAAACUAUGUAUAUGUAUUGACGAAACUUGCUACUAUUGGUAACAUGUGUUGGAUAUGUGUUGGAUAUAUGUGUGUUCAUGACUAUUGGUAAUAUGUGUUGGAUAUGCUA